GCUACCGCCUGCUCAAUGGGCGUCGCUGCCAGGACAUCGACGAGUGUGCGCAGGACCCUGGGCUCUGCCUGCCCCUCGGCACAUGCGAGAAUGUGGACGGCUCCUACGUGUGCACGUGCGAGGAGGGCUACGCCCCCACCGAGGACCGGCACAGCUGCGAGGCGCUGGAGCCGCUGGGGCACAAGAAGGAGGGCUACCUGAACUUCGA